CUGCAGCCCAGGAUCCGUGGAACCCACGUCAGCAUUCGGGCCCGGAGCCUGCCUGUCCUCGGGACCGACUCCUGGCUCGUGGACGCCUAGAGCUCGGGCAACGGGCAUUUCCGGGUGCUUGCGAUCGGGGGGCCUGGGUUGGCCGCGUUUGGGCAAGAACUGCGUGUGCAGGGAAGCCGGCCACUGUCAGACUUGGGGCGACGGCCAGCGCCUGGGCGUGACGGGAAAGCGCCCCCUCAGCUUCAGAGUCUGAGCCCUAGGGCGCCCGGGCCUUCACGCCCCAACUUGCAGGCCACACUGGGCCUAGACAGCCGGUGGGCGGGGGAGUGCCGCAGGAGGGCCCGCGGGAGAGGGGGCGGGAGCGCUCGUGCGCGCUCUCCACCAAUCAAGAAUGCUUGAGAGGGCCUGCGGGGUGUGACGUAAGUGGGCCGGGCUGAGCAAACCGCCCCGCGGGGAGCUCUAGUCUCCGCCUGCGGGUUUGCUGUGGAGCUUGGGAAAGGCCUGUCCGGUCCGAGCCCAGGGGCUUCCAGGAGGCGAGGCUAAUAGGGUUUUUCUCACUUUUCACGCACAUGAGCCUGGAGCUGAAUGCUGGACACUGGCGGACCAGUGAGCCUCUCCAGAGUUUUAAAUACUUUCGGAAGCGCCUCCUGGUAGCCCGAAGACCUCGCCGGACUAUCCUUGGGUUCCUGUAUGAGGGACAGCCCUGAGACAGGGCUCCUGUGGCUGAGGCAAGUGAGAAAGCGCUUCAGCGGAGCUGCUGUAAAAGAAUGGGUAAGGGUUGUGCCUGUGUCAGAGAAACUCAGAGAGGAUACUGCAUUGAUAGAAGAGGUGGUAGUAAUGAGGAUGGAGAGGACUGGACACGCUCCAGGGAGUUACCCAAGAGAAGAUGAUGUUAACAGUCAUUGUUCAGAGGCUUCAAUUUUCUGAGAGAGCACUUUCCAUCUAGUGGCCACAGUGAAGGCUGCAUCAAGAAACAAUAGGACACAAUGAUGAAAGAAGAGUUUGGAUUUCUUCAGGCCAGAUUAAGUUUAGAGUUCAACCUGUGGGUCAUCUGGAGCCACUGAUGAUUUCUUGAACAAGGAACAGGGACUACCUAAGAAACUAGUUGCAGAACUAUCGCCUGAAGCAAAAACUCAAACCAGCUUAAAAGCAGUAGGACUCAUUUAGCUCAUGUAAAAAGUAUGGUUACAUGCCAGGCUGGAAUGGUCUGGGAGCAGCAUACCUGAAGCAAAGAAGUAGUGAUCCAUGGGAAGACACAAACUCUAGCUGGACUAAGAAGAUCGAGGUGUUAGGAAAAUCAAAAUUGUCUUAUACCUCAGGAUGCUUUGUCUUCCCACUCUAAAGCAUCCCAGGACAUUAUACUAAGGGGACCUCCAACAGCUCAUCCUUCUGCAUUCAACACCCCUGCUCCUUCAAUAUCCUGAACCUUCCCAAGACCUGCCUCCCUCAUCACAUGUGGAUUCUUCCAAUCGAGUACCUAUGUGCACUCAUACCUGGAACUUCCUAUUUGUCCUCUCCCACAACCCUCAUCCCCAUGGAUGCUGUCUAGUUGUCCCCAGGUGAGAUCUGUACACCACAUCCUUCCCACAUACUGACUCUUUCCUUCCAAGAAUAAAGCUCUCAAUGAAUGGGUCAGUGGUCCAGCAAGUGUAGCCUGCCCCCUGGUGGCCACCCUGUUGUCAAGUCCUUUUUAUGUUAUGCUAGGUGCGGAAGGUCUUUCUACCUGCCAGCUCUUUGGUGUGUACCAUAGCCAGAGUGGAUCACUUGUGUCUCCCACUCUACCCAACUGUUACAGUUUUCAGGAUGUUUGCAGAGAAUCCCUUGGGGGAUAUGUGGGCUUAUGAGCUUGUUGGUAGCCAGUAAGGGAACUGGAAUGAUGUCCCCCCCACUUGCCAGUCAGUCUUGGAGGAGGGAGUGGAUCCUGGCCACUAGUGAAGGAGAAAAGGGUAGCUAUCCAGGACUCCUGAGAACAGAGAAUAAAAAGACAUUGAGUAUAAAGUUGAUGGUCAGGAAUUACGGGGAAUUUGACAGAUACCUGCUAAUCUGAAGACCAUGGGACUGAUGAGACAUUUCCAGUGUUUAAGAAGGCAUCCUGAAAAGCCCUCAAA